rnacentral:rRNA from 1 species
ACGGGAGGCAGCAGUAGGGAAUAUUGGACAAUGGGCGAAAGCCUGAUCCAGCCAUGCCGCGUGAGUGAUGAAGGCCUUAGGGUUGUAAAGCUCUUUCAGCGGGGAAGAUAAUGACGGUACCCGCAGAAGAAGCCUCGGCUAACUCCGUGCCAGCAGCCGCGGUAAUACGGAGGAGGCUAGCGUUGUUCGGAAUUACUGGGCGUAAAGCGUGCGUAGGCGGUUUUCUAAGAUGAGUGUGAAAGCCCGGAGCUCAACUCCGGAACUGCGCUCAUGACUGGAAAGCUGGAGUCCGAGAGAGGUGAGUGGAAUUCCCAGUGUAGAGGUGAAUUUCGUAGAUAUUGGGAAGAACACCAGUGGCGAAGGCGGCUCACUGGCUCGGUACUGACGCUGAUGCACGAAAGCGUGGGGAGCAAACAGGAUUAGAUACCCUGGUAGUCCACGCCGUAAACUAUGAGUGCUAGACGUUGGGGGGCUUGCCUCUCAGUGUCGAAGCUAACGCGAUAAGCACUCCGCCUGGGGAGUAC